rnacentral:rRNA from 1 species
GACGAACGCUGGCGGCGUGCUUAACACAUGCAAGUCGAACGAAGUGGCGAACGGGUGAGUAACGCGUAAUCAACCUGCCCUUCAGAGGGGGACAACAGGUGGAAACGACUGCUAAUACCGAAUACUGAAGGAGGGGAUUGCGUAUGAUUGGCUAUUUGGAAGGGUAACGGCCCAUCAAGGCAAUGAUCAGUAGCCGGUCGGGGAGGAUGAACGGCCACAUUGGGACUGAGACACGGCCCAGACUCCUACGGGAGGCAGCAGUGGGGAAUCUUCCGCAAUGGACGAAAGUCUGACGGAGCAACGCCGCGUGAGAGAUGACGGCCUGCGGGUUGUAAAGCUCUGUUAAUCGGGACGCGGUACCGGAAUAGAAAGCAACGGCUAAUGACGUGCCAGCAGCCGCGGUAAUAC